AACGCAUCUUGCGCUCCUUGGCAUUCCGAGGAGCAUGCCUGUUUGAGUGUCGUGAAGUAACUCAAUUUCAAUCUUUUUGUUUGAAAUUGGAUUUGGACGUUGUUGUGGAUCACGACUCGUCCCAAAUGCAUUAGCGAUCUGCCUUUGAUCACACACAAUGUGAUAAGAAAUUGAGCAUUGUUAGGAUUCAAGUCAGGGUUGCUUCCAACUGUCGAAAGACAACGCAUAUAUGUCAKUUGACCUCAGAUCAGGUAGGACUACCCGCUGAACUUAA
rnacentral:misc_RNA from 1 species